rnacentral:lncRNA from 1 species
GGUAAACACAAAAUAGUUUUAAGAGAAAAAUGGACCUGAUGUCUACCAUCAAAAACAACAGCUUAACCAAAAACAAUACCAGGAUCAAAAGUCAGGGUUUAGGCUGUACCAUCUUCAUUGUCUGAAUUAAAGAAAUUCAUUCACAUUGUGGCACAUAUUAUAAUUUUCUACCUUUUUAAUGCUGAAUUCCUUCACAUGUAUAUACCACCUUUUUUUAUGCACUCAUCCUUUGAUGAACACUUGAGUUGCUCUAUGUUUUGGCUAAUUGUGAAUAGAGCUGCUAUGAACAUGGAUGUUUGAAUAUCUCUUUGUGACCCUGCUUUCAACUCAUUUGGGGAAAUGUCCAGAAGUGGAAUGACUGGGUCACGUGGUAAUUUAAUUUUAAUUUUUUGAGGAGCUGCCCUAUUGACUUGCAAAAUAUGAAUUUUUGAUGGCAAUAAGGAUAACAGAUGAACUUACAUUUGUUGCCCCAGUGUAUUAGUCUGUUUUCACACUGCUAUACAGAACUACUUGAGACUGGGUAAUUUAUAUGAAGAAAAGAGGUUUAAUUGACUCAUGGUUCUUCAGGCUUAACAGGAAGCAUGACUAGGAGGCCUCAGGAAAUUUACAAUCAUGUGGGAGGAAUAGGGGAAGCAAGCACAUCUUACUACUGCGGAGCAGGAAGUGAAGGGGAAAGUGCCACACAAUUUCAAACAACCAGGUUUCAGGAGAACUCACUAUCACAAGAAGAGCAAGAGGGAAAUCAGCCCCCAUGAUCCAAUCACCUCCCACCAGGCCCCUCCCCCAACACAUGGGGUUACAUUCAAGAUGAGAUUUCAGUGGGGACACAGAGCCAAGCUGUAUCACCCAAUGUGUGGCCCUUUCUGAUUAAGUACUGCUGACCGCCUCUGGGCUGCGCAUUCUAGAGAGCAGGUGAGAGAUGAUUAUCCCUAGAAUGCAAGCAUAAACUCAUUGCCCUUACAUAACAUCCCAGCCAUUGUACUGAGCUAUUACAGCUGUAACUCACAGCCAGAUGAUGCCCUGAAUUCCCAGACAGAUCAGGAAGCUCUUUAAGGAUAGAGAACAAGUCUAGUAUUUCUUUAUUUUCCUUUGCUUUGUGAUAGUUACUCAUUUAAAUGUGUCAGAGAGGUAAGAAAGAGAUCUGACUCAGACCGAAAAUCCAAAUUCUGGUAUUGUGUCUUUUCUUUCUCAUACAGAGGAUUCUUGCACAAGCUGACCAUUUCCUUAUCCUCGCAACAGCAGAAGUCUCCUACUGAAUGAACUGACUGAAGGAGGAUUUGUGUGGGAUAAUACAGCUGAAAGCUCCUGUUCAUCUCCCAUUUUCUCUGAAAAACUUGAUCAGGGAGGAGGAAAGGGUGAUCCUGGUUCAUUGGACCUGUCAGAUCUGAAUCCUCAGCUAGAGAAGGAACGGAUUCCCUGCAUCUUCUCCAGCAGCUUGCCACAGUAAGAAAGGCUCAGAAAAGGGAGAGAAGGCAGAGCCAGUCAUGACACAGAGCCUCAACAGAGGCUGGUCUCCAGCAUCAGGCACUGAUGACAUUCACUGAGCCACAGCCCAUGCCCAGAAGGUUUCCGACGUUCACAUAGACCACAGGCCUUCUCCAGAAGUAAGCACCAACAGGGGCUACAAGAUCACUGACAAAGAAAUAUAUCAGAGUGCCAUUCUAACAAAAUGGAUUCUUAAAAAUACAUGCUGUGACUGAGGCAGAGUAAUUGCAAGAAGGGAAUUGCAGGAAUAACUUUUAUUGCCUCUGUACUGCUCCCUCCCAAGAUCACCCCACAUGGCUGUGAAUAUCUUUGCAACUUCCUGUAUAAUUCUAGUUAUUCUAAUGUAAGUAUUUAAUAGACUGCACAGGUCAUUGGAAACCUUCAAAUCCCAGUUAAUUUGGAUACUCCACUAAACAUGAUUACUGUCUGUGUGGCUUAGGCUUCCAGGGAGAAAAUUAAAUAAUGUGAAUGUCAUUUGAUAUGGUUUGGCUGUGUCCCCACCCAAAUCUCAUCUUGAAUUGUAGCUCCUAUAAUUCCCACAUGUCAUGGGAGGAUUUGGUGGGAGGUAAUUGAAUAAUGGGGGUGGGUCUUUCCCAUGCUGUUCUUGUGAUAGUAAAUAAAUCUCAUGAGAUCUGAUGGUUUUAUAAAUGGGAGUUCCCCUGCACAAGCCCUCUUGCCUCCCACCAUGUAAAACGUGACUUUGGUCCCCCUUUGCCUUCCGCCAUGAUUGUGAGGCCACCCCAGCCACGUGGAGCUAUGAGUCCAUUAAAUCUCUUUCCUUUAUAAAUUACCUAGUCUCAAUUAUGUUUUUAUUAGCAGCAUGAGAACAGACUAAUACAUUGUGUAUCUGUAAAUAAUAUCAAACCUGUGAUAAGAAUGCAUUUGAUUAGAUGAAGAGAGAGCUCCUGGUGUUGGCUCAGUGAGCAGUGCUGCUGACCUGCAGCCUCGGGGGGGCCCAGGGAGAGAACAGGCCUUUCUGCCUCUGGGUGUCCCACAGACCACAGCACCCACCCCAUGCCCAGCUUGGACCCUGUAACUCAGGACCCUGCUUAUCAAUCCUGAGCACUUGCUAGGUUUUCUCUUCAGCUGCAUGCACCACACAGUUAAUUACUGAGAUGAGGAGAAAAUGCCCCCUUCCAUGGAAAUUAUGGAAAUGCUAUCAGAUGUUAAGGAUUAAUGAGUAUUAGACGCAGGUGUGAGAUUAGAUGCAGCUGAAAAGAACACGGCAUGGUGGCUGGCUGCUUGUUAACAGUCAUCAUUAAAACUGCCAAAACAAGAAAUUCUUUUGCUUAGGUGAUUUUUCUUAAAAAACAUUUUUUUCUUCGUUUUCACUAAGCAUUCUCGUUUUCUUGCCCAUGUUGCUAAUAAUCCCAUUGAUGAAGGACUUUGCCUCAGAGCAUCGGUUUCAUCACUGGUAGCUUCGCAGAGUUGAAUGGCUCACACAAGGUCUCAUCCUUGUCAAUUCAGAGUCCAUGCUAAUUGGCAUCCCUAAGAACAGUCCCCACCAGCUUGAAGUAAUUUAAUUUACAACCUCAUGUUUCCAAUCAGUCAUGUACAAGGGAAAGCUUGCAGGAAUGAUGGACACUUUUCAGGAAAGUCUUGUCCCUUUUUACAAAACACACUAGACAUGAAAAUCUCAGAACUUUAUUGUACAUUUUUUGUUUGUUUGUUUUGUUUUUUUGGUGUUGUUGACAUUCAAAUCCCCCCCAGUCAGCCAUGGGGUGAUGUUGUCCGAUUUCAAUUACAUGUAGGACUCUAAAUCUACAGGGUUGGAGAUGCCAUGAGAUCACUGCCCUCCCACCAGGGGCCCAUCCACAGGCAACGCAUGAUGAAAUGUGGAGCGUGGGGAAAGCCUGCUUUUGUACUUGGUGUGUUUGAUUAAUUAAUGUGAGAAAGAAAUCCAUGUCGUGUAGAAAAUGCUAGAACUGACAGAAUGCACCUUUUAAUAGAGAAUUCGUUUUUCCUGGAAGGAGCUUGUAUUCGGAGUGGGGAGAUAAGACUCUGUUAGGUAAUGGAUCCAAAAUGGAUUUCAUCAUCUUACUGUCGUAGUAAGAAUAGGGGGUCCAGGCAAGAUUCGGUGCUCAUUGCUGGCAUCCCUGAAGGCCCAUCCAGGGGCUGGCUGCGACCAUGAGCAGAUUAAAGGCCUCCCUUGGUAGUUGCUCCAGUGGGAGUUGUUGGCUUCUGGGUCUUCGGUUCAAGUGACCCAAAUUCACAACAAAAAGGGGAUUGAUGAACUUGAUGCUAAACAUUUAUGCUGAGAAACUUAACUGUGGAGAUUGGGAUUCUAUUUAUAACAGCCCUAUAUAGAGACACUUGCCUUGUAGGCGGUCCUUCCUGGGGAAAGAAUGUGCAUCUCUGUGUGGCAUUUCUCAAAAGGGAGCACCUCUCUUCAGGGUGCUGAGGCUUCUCCUGGGAGGCUGUGAGCUGAAACUUGCAUUCAGUUGAAUCAUGGCGGGAAGGGAGAAGUGAGAGGAGUUUGGAGUCGGGGAGGGUGAAUGUUAGAUUCUGGAAAAUGUCAUUGACCAUGAAGGCAGUUUUCCACAGCUGCAAUUGAGCAAGCUGUUAAUUAAUUCAUCUCAGCAAAGCCGGAAGGAGACGUUCUGGAAGCAGACUCCAAAACCCCCUAAUUGCCCACACUUCUCCCAGCCUACUGGGUGAGGCUGGGAGCUUUUCCCAAAUCAGACUGAAGUUUUAAAAUGCAAAUCCUGGUUGAGGUGACACACUAGAAUUUAUGCCCACUAAAUAAAAUCACACUGCUGGUCAAGUAUAAAAGACAAAUAGCAGACUUGCUUUGUAAACUUUAAGAUAGGGAAGGGUGGAGGGAGGGAGCUUGGGGUAGCUAUGGGAGUCGGAACUCAGGGAGAGGGAACACCAAGAGGAGAAGCAGAAGAGAAACCUCACAUUUGCUGUGAUGAUGGCCCUGAGGCAGAAAUUUAAAAAUAAAUAAAGAGGCAAGGCAAGGGUUAAAAAGAAAAGAACAAGUUUUCCUCUGCCUAGCAAGCUCACUUGAAGGACAGUUAUAACGCUGUUUGAGAAGCCAAGGCCAAAGGAAUGGGCUCCAGACACCCCCGCCCCACUUCCAGAGCAAGGUUGAAGGAAAAAGAAGAGAAAGACAAAUUAUUUUACUGUUACUCCUUUUCCUGGCUUCUUAGGCAUGAGUAUGUUUUACAAAUGUCUGUAUUUAGCCAGUUCUUGUUUUUCUUUUGAUGCAGCUACAAGGCCACCAGCUACGCAAGGUCACAAGUUAUGUUAUGCUAUAGAUUAUGGGACCUAUCACUGUAUGAUUAACUGCUUUUGUUUUGCUUCUGUAAGUCUGCUUAUAAAAACCCUGCUCUGUCUUUGUUCAAGGCUCAGCUUUUUGGAUGCAAAUCCACUGAGCCGGUGCAUGCCUAAAAUAAACAAUCCUCCUGUUCUCCAUAUCAGUCUCUCCGGUCCUCAGUUUCCCUCAACGGCCCUACGAAGGCUUAUUGGUUUACUAUGUGCAAGGCACAAGCUGACUACUUAAUUGCAAUUAGUUCUUUCAACAAUGCUAUGAAGUAGGGAUUAUUCACUCCCAUUUUAUUGACAAGGAAGCUGAGCCUUCAGGAGGCUACACAGUGA